rnacentral:rRNA from 1 species
AACGAACGCUGGCGGCAUGCCUAACACAUGCAAGUCGAACGAUUGCCUUCGGGUGAUAGUGGCGCACGGGUGCGUAACGCGUGGGGAUCUGCCCGUAGGUUCGGAAUAACAGCUGGAAACGGCUUCUAAUACCGGGGGAUAUCGCGAGAUCAAAGAUUUAUCUCCUGAGGGUGAGCCCGCGUUGGAUUGGGGAGGUGGUGGGGUAAGGGCCUACCAAGCCGACGGUCCAUAGCUGGUCUGAGAGGAUGAUCAGCCACAAUGGGACUGAGACACGGCCCAGACUCCUACGGGAGGCAGCAGUGGGGAAUAUUGGACAAGGGGCGCAAGCCUGAUCCAGCCAUGCCGCGUGAGUGAUGAAGGCCCUAGGGUUGUAAAGCUCUUUUACCCGGGAAGAUAAUGACUGUACCGGGAGAAUAAGCCCCGGCUAACUACGUG